rnacentral:SRP_RNA from 1 species
GCCGAGCACUGCAGCACGUGCCUGUAGUCCCAGCUACUCGCGAGGCUGCGGUGGGAGGAUCGCUUGAGCCCAGGAGUUCUGGGCUGCAGUGCGCUAUGCCGAGCGGGUGUCCGCACUAAGUUCGGCAUCAAUAUGGUGACCUCCUGGGAGCGGGGGACCACCAGGUUGCCUAAGGAGGGUGAACCGGCCCAGGUCGGAAAUGGAGCAGGUCAAAACUCCCGUGCUGAUCAGUAGUGGGAUCGCGCCUGUGAAUAGCCACUGCACUCCAGCCUGGGCAACAUACAAAGACCCCAUCUCU